UACGUAGGGUGCAAGCGUUAAUCGGAAUUACUGGGCGUAAAGCGUGCGCAGGUGGUUACGCAAGUCUGAUGUGAAAUCCCCGGGCUUAACCUGGGAACUGCAUUGGAGACUGCGUGGCUAGAGUGUGGCAGAGGGGGGUGGAAUUCCGCGUGUAGCAGUGAAAUGCGUAGAGAUGCGGAGGAACACCAAUGGCGAAGGCAGCCCCCUGGGUUAACACUGACACUCAUGCACGAAAGCGUGGGGAGCAAAC
rnacentral:rRNA from 1 species